UACGUAGGGGGCAAGCGUUGUCCGGAUUUAUUGGGCGUAAAGAGCUCGUAGGUGGUUCGGUAAGUCGGAUGUGAAAUCUCCAGGCUCAACCUGGAGGGGUCAUUCGAUACUGCCGUGACUAGAGGUCGGUAGGGGAGUGUGGAAUUCCUGGUGGAGCGGUGAAAUGCGCAGAUAUCAGGAGGAACACCCGUAGCGAAGGCGGCACUCUGGGCCGAUACUGACACUGAGGAGCCAAAGCGUGGGGAGCGAACAGG
rnacentral:rRNA from 1 species